rnacentral:tRNA from 1 species
UUAAUUGAAACCAAAAAAGAGGUUAAUCACUGUUAAUGAUUUUAUUGAAUUUAAUAUUCCAAUUAAA